GACGAACGCUGGCGGCGUGCUUAACACAUGCAAGUCGAACGCUGAAGCUCAGCUUUUGUUGGGUGGAUGGGUGGCGAACGGGUGAGUAACACGUGAGUAACCUGCCUCCUUCUUUGGGAUAACGCCCGGAAACGGGUGCUAAUACUGGAUAUUCACUGGUCUUCGCAUGGGGGUUGGUGGAAAGGGUUUUUCUGGUGGGGGAUGGGCUCGCGGCCUAUCAGCUUGUUGGUGGGGUGAUGGCCUACCAAGGCUUUGACGGGUAGCCGGCCUGAGAGGGUGACCGGUCACAUUGGGACUGAGAUACGGCCCAGACUCCUACGGGAGGCAGCAGUGGGGAAUAUUGCACAAUGGGCGCAAGCCUGAUGCAGCGACGCCGCGUGAGGGAUGGAGGCCUUCGGGUUGUGAACCUCUUUCGCUCAUGGUCAAGCCGCAACAAUGGUUGUGGUGAGGGUAGUGGGUAAAGAAGCGCCGGCUAACUACGUG
rnacentral:rRNA from 1 species